rnacentral:lncRNA from 1 species
AUGCAGGCAACAGCGAGCGAGCGCAGAGACAAGGGUUCAGGCCUAGGGGUAACUAUGGGAGGGCAGAGAAGUGACCGGGUUAAGUGGGAUGCUCAGUGGGGCUCUCCCCUCCCCAGAGAUGGAGCCCAGAGGUGGGGGCAGUCCUCACCUCCUUCAUCCACCUCCUCCCCUCAGCGGGCUGGGGCCCCCCAAGGGGAGUGGCGUCUGGGUUGGGGGGCGGGGACCGACCUCACCAGGCCCGGGCCACCAGAAGAGGGGGCUCAAAGGGGCGAAGGGUCUGGACGGGCAGGGGGCCCGGGGGUGAAAGGAGGGGGAGGGGUCGCCCCACCCGAAGCCUGCAGGAGACAGACACUGCGGCGAUCACUCGCGCCGGCGCCAGGAGGCGGCGCCGCGGGUCGCGCCGGCCCCGGGACCCAGCAGCGGGAGGGGAAGCCCGGCGGGUGGCCCGGCUUCGGCCCCCGGGCGGGCAAGAUCGAGGGGGCGGCCUGGAGGGCCGGGGGACGGACCGACGCCCGGAGGAGCCGGGCACACCCGCGGGUGGAGGCCGGGAGCCGUCCGCGGCGGGACCUUCGCCGGCCACAGCUCAGUUUCUCAGCUUCAGAAACGGGAACCGGAGCGCGGAGGAGAGGGAGGGGCGGCGCGUCCCGGAGCAGCCCGGAUCCCUCGCCCGGCCGGGCUCUCACUCACCUCUUGAGGGGCGCUGGCGCCAGGGGUCUUGGCGCCGGGCUUCUGGCUCCCGGGCGCGCCUGGACGGAGUCGGAGCGGGCUCGGCGCGGGACGGCCCGGGUCUCGGCGCGAACCGAGGGACGCCGAAGGGUCGCUCGGGAAGCCGGCGCUCUGUUGAAACCUCCCGUAUCCCCCCCGGAGGCCCCCCGGAAGUCCGAGGGGCGGGGCGGGGCGACCUCACCCAGGUGCCGGCCCUGGACCCGCCCCCCCGAAGUUCAGCCCCGAGAGGCCCCGCCCCGUGCGAGGCCCCGCCACGGGAGCCCGCGGGGCGCGGGUCGCUUGGAGUCCUGCCCUCGCCGUCCUCUGGGGCCCGCCGCGGCCCGAGCUUCGCCGCCAGCACGCACGUCGGCCCCCCGACUGAGGAGGACACGGAGGUCCGUGGUGGUCAUCCCACGCCCCGGCCGGGAGGCGCCCGCGGGGGUUCCCCGGGUCCGCACGCCCACGCCCGGGACUCCCCACCGGCCAGCUGGCCCGCCUUGUCUGGCCUCGCUCCUUCCCUUGCUGCUGGCUACAGCGCGGACACGGCCGGGAUCAGAGCCCGCCGCCAGGCCUGCCGGCCCAGCACUGUCCUGCCCUGCCCUAAAGACCGAGCUGGGAGGACUCCAGGACAAGGCUGUGCCGCUGCCCUUUCUGCUUGUCGGAUAUCUGAGGAGCUGCCCCUGCCCCGACUCCCCGCCUCCCGCUUUGCUGCCCCCACCCUCCGGAGCUGCCCAUUGGCCUUGGCAGGCCUCUGAGCGUCCUUCUCACACGUGGAACUCGGAUGUCAGCUGUAACUCACCCGUUCCUUCAUUCAUUCACCAAGUGUCCCCUGGCCCCAAAGCCUGGGGGCCAGCUGGGGUCCAAGAAGUCCAUUCUCCUGAAAUGUCGCUUCCCAGCGGCAAGAAGGAGAGUUCCAGGUUCCUGGGCUCUGGGCGGGCACCACCAUCACCUUGA